rnacentral:rRNA from 1 species
UACGUAGGGCGCAAGCGUUGUCCGGAAUUAUUGGGCGUAAAGAGCUCGUAGGCGGUUUGUCGCGUCUGCUGUGAAAACCUGAGGCUCAACCUCGGGCUUGCAGUGGGUACGGGCAGACUAGAGUGCGGUAGGGGUGACUGGAAUUCCUGGUGUAGCGGUGGAAUGCGCAGAUAUCAGGAGGAACACCGAUGGCGAAGGCAGGUCACUGGGCCGCAACU